GACGAACGCUGGCGGCGUGCUUAAUACAUGCAAGUCGAACGAAGUGGCGAACGGGUGAGUAACGCGUAAUAAACCUGCCCUUCAGAGGGGGACAACAGUUGGAACCGACUGCUCAUACCGCAUACUGCAGGAGGGGAGUGCGUCGGACUAGCUAGUUGGCGGGGUAACGGACCACCAAGGAGAUGAUCAGUAGCCGGUCUGAGAGGAUGAACGGCAACAUGGGGACUGAGACACGGCCCAGACUCCUACGGAAGGCAGCAGUGGGGAAUCUGCCGCAAUGGAGGAAAGUCUGACGGAGCAACGCCGCGUGAGUGAUGACGGCCUUCGGGUUGUAAAGCUCUGUUAAUCGGGACGCGGUACCGGAAUAGAAAGCCACGGCUAACUACGUGCCAGCAGCCGCGGUAAUUC
rnacentral:rRNA from 1 species